rnacentral:rRNA from 1 species
UGGCGGACGGGUGAGUAAUGUCUGGGAAACUGCCUGAUGGAGGGGGAUAACUACUGGAAACGGUAGCUAAUACCGCAUAACGUCGCAAGACCGAAGAGGGGGACCUUCGGGCCUCUUGCCAUCGGAUGUGCCCAGAUGGGAUUAGCUAGUAGGUGGGGUAACGGCUCACCUAGGCGACGAUCCCUAGCUGGUCUGAGAGGAUGACCAGCCACACUGGAACUGAGACACGGUCCAG